UUGAUCAGCAGGAGUAAAUCAAUUUAAUUUUGUAUGGCGAAAAGCAUCUAAACUCGAAUUACUUGAAAUAGAAAGCUUUUACCGAAAAAAUAUUUGGUAGCCUUAAUAGUGGUCACCAUUGUGCACAACCACUACCAAAUAUUUUUUCGAAUAAUGUGUUCCACUUCGAGAAAUUUGCCUUUAGAUUGUAUUCACCAUACAAUAUUUUUGCGAUUUACUUUUAGCGAUUUUUCGCGCAUGGAAGCUAGCGCCACAUUGGUCGAUGCGGAGAGUAGGAAAACAGCCGAUGUAGUUAAUUCAUUAUGCCAUCACGCCAAUUUUAUUGGCAGAUAGGAAAGUGUUUACAUGACGAUAGUUUGGUACCAACACAGUCGGACAAUUUAUUGUACCAGAUUUAGCAGCUAAUGAAUUAACUACAUCGGCUGUUUUCCUACUCUCCGCAUCGACCAAUGUGGCGCUAGCUUCUAUGCGCGAAAUAUCGCUAAAAGUAAAUCGCAAGAAUUUUGUAUGGCGAAUACCAUCUAAAGGCAAAUUCUUCAAAGUGGAACACAUUAUUCGAAAAAAUAUUUGGUAGUGGUUGUGCACAAGGGUGACCACUAUUAGGCCUACCAAAUAUUUUUUCGGGAAAAGCUUUGUAUUUCAAGUAAUUCAAGUUUAGAUGCAUUUCGCCAUACAAAAUUAAAUUGAUUUACUCCUGCUGAUCAACUGUGGCUGCGCGCAAAGCGGGUAGUCCAUUGUUUAGCGGCAAUGUAAAUGAUACUAGCGUGGAAUAAAUUGUCCGACAGAAUAUUGUCACGCGUUAUUAUCACAUGUGUAAACGGGCCAUUAGCUCCCUGAGCACUGGGCCAGUGCAGGGACAGCAACCUGGGCGCACGCUCCAGUGAGGUUUUUGCGUCAAAGUGCGCGCUGCGGUGAAACACCGGAGAGUUCUCGCUCCGGUGUGACACCAUGGUGCUGAUUCGGUGACUGCUGGGUGAAACCAAGGCAAUCUAGCGCUCAUCACCUUUCUCUCUCAAGCAUUCACAGAAGAUAGCAAUUUUUUGUUUAAUAUUUUCAUACGGAAAGGUUUCCGUAUGAAAACAAACCUAUCCUCCUCGGGUGCGAAACAGAGAAAGGUGAUCAAACGUCAGAUAGCCUUAUACGGGAAAGCAUGCGAGAGCGAUGCGCGCGAAAGAGUGAGCCACACUCGAUCCAAGGCGAACGAGCAAGAGCACACACUACCCGCAUGAACGAUAACCAUAAGAUUUGCUUAACCGCCAAUUCGGGAUACAGUUCGAACAGUAUGCGGUAUUGUUGAACCGUCUACAUUCCGGUGCGUGUAUUGUGUUGAUUUAUUAGGGUAGCGCUUGGUCUACCCAGCACCCAAAACAAAAGUAACUGACUUCUUGAUGUGGUGAAAAAUGUUCCUAUCCCCAUAGUGUGGUCGAUCAACUGACGCCCCAGUGAAUCGCUACGGUGAAAUGCCAUCUCUGUCUAAAAGUCGAUAAAAACUUCAUAAAAUACAAAACAUGUUAUUGAACAACCAGUUUUCAAAAGUAAUCAAUUUUGCUCCGAGAAAAAAAGUACGGAGCAAGAUGGGUCACUUUUAAAGAUGCUGCAUGUAUCUAUGCUCCAUAGGCAAAUUUAACGGAAGCCAACGAUCCCUCCGCAGCUGGUGGCAUGAAAAACAGGACUACGCGCCAAAAUUUGCCAUGGCGCAGCAUAGACAAAGUGCACUUUUUCACUUUUUCAUAUUGAAUUCCGCAUCGUAGAGAAACAAACGAGCACUUUCUGGAAAGAAAAUUUAAUUUUCUUUCAGAUGCGCUUAGAUCCGGUAGGUACUUACGAAUAUUUUAUGUGAUUAAUUUGAGGAGCUCUUUCUAUACCUCCAGCGAGUGAUCUUCCGGAUUUUUUGUUAGCUGGCCAACAGGCAAAUCUGACGGAAGCUAAUGAUCUCUCCGCAUCUGUUGGCAGGAAUGAGAACCCUACAAAAAGAGUGACUUCUCCAAAAAGUGCUAUGGCGCAGCAUAGGAAAAGUGCACUUUUUUCACUUUUUCGUAUCGAAUUCCGCAUCGUAGAGAAACAAACGAACACUUUUUGGAAAGCAAAUUUAAUUUUCUUUCAGACGCACAUAGAUCCGGUAGGUACUUACGAACAAUUUAUGUGAUUAAUUUGAGGAGCUCUUACUAUGCCUCCGGCGGGCGAUCUUCCGGAUUUUUUGUUAGCUGGCCAAUCCGGUGUCUGUCGGCAUGGGCAUCGAGAAUGAUGAUAUUAGAAGCCAUUGCAAAUGGAAAAUAGCAACUUCUAGAGCAAAAAAUGAGUAAAAUUCGAAGACAAAAAAUUUAAUGGAUCAUUGAAGCCAACUUUUCCGCCACUCACCGCAUCAAAACAAAAGUGCCACUAUAUAUGGACGGUAACACAGUGACAGCAGUCGAGUUACGUCAAACACACAAGGCUACGGUGGCGCUAUCUGUUUAUUUCAUAGCGGCCGUUUUAAUUAUUUUAGUGAUCCAUUGGCUUUUUUAUGUAAACAAACGAUUUUCUCCUUAUCUCACCAAGCGCCUCUACAAUGGACUACCCGCUCUGCGCGCAGCCACAGUUGAUCAGCAGGAGUAAAUCAAUUUAAUUUUGUAUGGUGAAAAGCAUCUAAACUUGAAUUACUUGAAAUACAAAGCUUUUCCCGAAAAAAUAUUUGGUAGGCUUAAUAGUGGUCACCAUUGUGCACAACCACUACCAAAUAUUUUUUCGAAUAAUGUGUUCCACUUUGAAGAAUUUGCCUUUAGAUGGUAUUCGCCAUACAAUAUUUUUGCGAUUUAUUAUGCGUUGCACGAAAAUUUUUGAGCGCAAGUGCUCGUAUACCUCCGCCAGUACGGUAAAUCAUGUUGGUGUUGUCGGCGCAGUAUUCUUUGGCCCAUUCGCGCACUUAUUGUAAAAGACACCAGAACGAUUAAACGUACGAGCGGAGGUCUAUUAGCGAUUUUGCACCAUUUUCGCUCUCUAUUUUCUUGCAACGGGUAAUACUUUUAGCGAUUUUUCGCGCAUGGACAUUGGUCGAUGCGGAGAGUAGGAAAACAGCCGAUGUAAUUAAUUCAUUCAUUGAAUUUCAACCGGAUAGAUAAUAUGCAAAGACACGUAAAUGUUCCAAUGGGGCACGUUCGGUGUAGUACUAGAUUUGUAGUAAUGAGCUGAAUUUUUGUAUGGUGAGAAGGUCAAUUCUCCGUUUCUGCAAUGAAAUGGUGCAAAAAGCGUGGGUAUUAUGAUUCCUUGCCUAAUUUGAUGCUGUUUGAGCAAAACUUUGGGCAACAGUGUUGUUGUUUUCUUCAUUUUCGGCAACAUAAACAACAUAGUUAUCCAAAGUUUUGCUCAACCAGCAUAAAAUUAGGCAAGGAAUCAUAAUACCCACGCUUUUUGCACCAUUUCAUUGCAGAAACGGAUAAUUGACCUUCUCACCAUACUAAAAUUCAGCUCAUUACUACAAAUCUAGUACUACACCGAACGUGCCCCAUUCUGCGUUUCUGCAAUGAAAUGGUGCAAAAAGCGUGGGUAUUAUGAUUCCUUGUCUAAUUUGUUGCUGUUUGAGCAAAACUUUGAACAACAGGGUUGUUGUUUUCUCCAUUUCUUGCAACAUAAACAACAUAGUUAUCCAAAGUUUUCCAGCAUCAAAUUAGGCAAGGAAUCAUAAUACCCACGCUUUUCGCACCAUUUCAUUGCAGAAACGGAGAGUUCAUUAACAAAUUUUGAAAACGACGUAUAAUCAAUGCUACACCAUUGAUUAUACGUCGUUUUCAAAAUUUGUUACUGAGUUGACCUUCUCACUAAAGACACUGUAUGCUAAAGACACGAAAUCUGAUGAUUGGUGCUGUUGAUGAUGGUUGUCGCAUCAUGACGAUGAUGCUGUCGAGCAAUGCUUUUAAGGCGCGUUUGACAGGUCUCCUGCUCGAUUGGAAUGACAUUUUGGAAUUCCGAUUGGAACAUUUCGUGUCUUUGCAUAUAGCGUCUUUACUUCUCACCAUACUAAAAUUCAGCUCAUUACUAUAGACACUAUAGAUUCCAUAGACUCGCGAAGGCGAAGACAACUGUAGCCAAAUGAACUGUCAGUUCGUGUAGCCAAACGAGCAUGACGUCACGAUUUCAAUAGCGACAAUGGAUUGCGUGACGUCAUAUUCGCUCGGUAUACUCUAAAUGGACUACCCGCUUUGCGCGCAGCCACAGUUGAUCAGCAGGAGUAAAUCAAUUUAAAUUUGUAUGGCGAAAUGCAUCUAAACUUGAAUUACUUAAAAUACAAAGUUUUUCCCGAAAAAAUAUUUGGUAGGCUUAAUAGUAGUCACCAUUGUGCACAACCACUAUCAAAUAUUUUUUCGAAUAAUGUAUUCCACUUUGAAGAAUUUGCCUUUAGAUGGUAUUCGCCAUACAAUAUUUUUGCGAUUUACUUUUAGCGAUUUUUCGCGCAUAGAAGCUAGCGCCACAUUGGUCGAUGCGGAGAGUAGGAAAACAGCCGAUGUAGUUAAUUCAUUCACAGAAAAACACACUAAAAUCGUAUUGCUCAACCAUGUCUCCGCGAGUCUAUGGAAUCUAUAGUGUCUAUACUCAUUACUACAAAUCUAGUACUUCACCGAUCUGUCCUAUUGGAAUUCCAAAUUUGCUGUCAAUGUCAUUCCAUUCGAGCAGGAGACCUGUCAAACGCGCUUUAAAAGCAUUAUCGUCAUGACGCGACAAUCAUCAUCAACAGCAACAAUCAUCAGAUUUCGUGUCUUUGCAUACAGUGUCUUUAGUUUCAACAA